UAAAUAAUAAAACAUAGAAUGUACAUAACAUAAAAAUUAAAAUCAAAACCAAUCAUAUUAUAAUAAUAACAACAAAAAUAAAUAAAUUUCCUUUAUACCAUUACUUACUUUAUUAAAAAAAUAUAUCUUUCUUUAUUUUUUUUUCCUUUCUUUUUCCUUCCCUCCCUUUUCUUCUUCUCCUUCUCUUUUUCUUUUUCCUUUUUCUUCCUUCUACGCCACCAUUAUAAGGGGGGUGGUGCCACCUGUGGCAGUGGCACCUUUGGUGCCGCCUCUGCCACUAGCACCUUUGGUGCCGCCUGUGGCAGUCCCUCCACUCCUGUUUGUAUUAUUUUGGUACAUAAUAAAAUGUUUGUAUUAUUUUGGUAUAUUUUAAAUUUUUUUGUAUUAUUUUUGUAAAAAAACCCCAACUUUGUUUUUUUAUGUUUGGUUCAUUUAAAUUUAAACAAAUUAAUAAAAAUUACAAAAUUAAAUAGUGAAAGCUUAAUAAUUUAAAUUUAAAUCAAUCAAUAAAAAUUUAUUAAUUUUAACCUAAUUUAAUAUAAUGUAAACUCUAUUUUUAAAUAUUUAUUAAUAUAAAUUUGAAUAAAAGAAUA
rnacentral:lncRNA from 1 species